UACGUAGGGUGCGAGCGUUAAUCGGAAUUACUGGGCGUAAAGCGUGCGCAGGCGGUUCGUUAAGUCAGAUGUGAAAGCCCCGGGCUCAACCUGGGAACUGCAUUUGAAACUGGCGGGCUUGAGUGUGGCAGAGGGGGGUGGAAUUCCGCGUGUAGCAGUGAAAUGCGUAGAGAUGCGGAGGAACACCGAUGGCGAAGGCAGCCCCCUGGGCCAACACUGACGCUCAGGCACGAAAGCGUGGGGAGCAGACAGG
rnacentral:rRNA from 1 species